CCCAUGUUGGUGAUUGUUGAAACCAGCUGCAUUGUUUACAGAGAUCCAUAGCAAUUACUACACUAUUGGGAUAUAUUUUGUGUGUAUCAGAUGGAGACAAACCCAAGAGAUCGCUGGAGGUCCCAUGCCCUCAAUGAUCAGGAAAUACAGACUGAAGGAGACUGAAUGACUUGCCCAGAGUCACACAACUAGAAAAGGCCAGGGGGUAAUGGAGUAGAAGCUAUUCUGGUUUGGGGGAUACAGCCCAAUAAGAAGAUAUAACUCAGCUAUUACUUUGCUCGUUGACCUUGGGCAUUUCUCUGAAUAUUCUUCAAAUGGCAUCUGUAGUUGCUCUGAUUUCUUGGGAGAAAAAGCACUGUCUUCAGUCAAAAUGAAAAAUAGCUCAUUAGCACCAUCUAUAGCUUAGAACUUCAUAUACCUGAACAGUUUUAUAUAGCCAUUCUCCUUGUCCCUAUCUACACUUCUAGAGAAGGUGCCAUAUUAUGAAGCAUUUUUGCAAAUAGCAUUCCUUAUUUGACAGUAAAAUAAAACAAAACAGAAGCCCA
rnacentral:lncRNA from 1 species